GCUGGGCGUGGUGGUGCACGCCUGUAAUCCCAGCUACUCAGGAGGCUGAGGCAGGAGAAUCGCUGGAACCCAGGAGGCGGAGGUUGCAGUGAGCUGAGAUUAUGCCAUUGCACUCCAGCCUGGGCAACAGAGCGAGACUCUGUCUCAA
rnacentral:SRP_RNA from 1 species